CUCGGACUGUAGUCUGCAACCCGACUACACGAAGCUGGAAUCGCUAGUAAUCGCGAAUCAGAAUGUCGCGGUGAAUACGUUCCCGGGUCUUGUACACACCGCCCGUCACACCAUGGGAGUCGGGAAUGCCCGAAGUCAGUGACCCAACCUAUUGGAGGGAGCUGCCGAAGGCAGGUCUGAUAACUGGGGUGAAGUCGUAACAAGGUAGC
rnacentral:rRNA from 1 species